GGGUGAGUAACACGUAGGUAACCCCCCUAGAAGCGGGGUACAACAUUUGGAAACAGAUGCUAAUACCGCAUAACAGCGUUGUUCGCAUGAACAACGCUUAAAAGAUGGCUUCUCGCUAUCACUUCUGGAUGGACCUGCGGUGCAUUAGCUUGUUGGUGGGGUAACGGCCUACCAAGGCGAUGAUGCAUAGCCGAGUUGAGAGACUGAUCGGCCACAAUGGGACUGAGACACGGCCCAUACUCCUACGGGAGGCAGCAGUAGGGAAUCUUCCACAAUGGGCGCAAGCCUGAUGGAGCAACACCGCGUGAGUGAAGAAGGGUUUCGGCUCGUAAAGCUCUGUUGUUAAAGAAGAACACGUAUGAGAGUAACUGUUCAUACGUUGACGGUAUUUAACCAGAAAGUCACGGCUAACUACGUGCCAGCAGCCGCGGUAAUACGUAGGUGGCAAGCGUUAUCCGGAUUUAUUGGGCGUAAAGAGAGUGCAGGCGGUUUUCUAAGUCUGAUGUGAAAGCCUUCGGCUUAACCGGAGAAGUGCAUCGGAAACUGGAUAACUUGAGUGCAGAAGAGGGUAGUGGAACUCCAUGUGUAGCGGUGGAAUGCGUAGAUAUAUGGAAGAACACCAGUGGCGAAGGCGGCUACCUGGUCUGCAACUGACGCUGAGACUCGAAAGCAUGGGUAGCGAACAGGAUUAGAUACCCUGGUAGUCCAUGCCGUAAACGAUG
rnacentral:rRNA from 1 species